AUUGAACGCUGGCGGCAGGCUUAACACAUGCAAGUCGAACGCAUCGCAAGAUGAGUGGCAGACGGGUGAGUAACGCGUGGGAAUCUACCCAGUUCUACGGAACAACUGAGGGAAACUUCAGCUAAUACCGUAUACGCCCUACGGGGGAAAGAUUUAUCGGGAUUGGAUGAGCCCGCGUUGGAUUAGCUAGUUGGUGGGGUAAUGGCCUACCAAGGCGACGAUCCAUAGCUGGUCUGAGAGGAUGAUCAGCCACACUGGGACUGAGAUACGGCCCAGACUCCUACGGGAGGCAGCAGUGGGGAAUAUUGGACAAUGGGCGCAAGCCUGAUCCAGCCAUGCCACGUGAGUGAUGAAGGCCUUAGGGUUGUAAAGCUCUUUCAGUAGGGAAGAUAAUGACGGUACCUACAGAAGAAGCCCCGGCUAACUUCGUGCCAGCCGCCGCGGUAAAAC
rnacentral:rRNA from 1 species